CUGCAACCUGAGGUUUCUAAAGUCGGAAGCUUCUACACCCCUGGCCCCUCUACAUCCAAGCCUGUACCAGAUGCAGCUUCCAAUCGGGAGGAAAACACAGCAAAUCUUUUGAGAUUGAAAUGAGCUGACAUAGUUCCGUGAUUUGCCCAGGAAAAUACAGAGUUCUCUGAAAUCAAAAUACUGGUAUCUGGGAACAUGCCAUGGCUUUUUGCCAGCAGCUGAAGAAGAAUACCUAAAGGAGCAUCUCAACCCCCAUCGUUCAGCCCGGACACUGAGAUCCAGCCCAGAUUUUUUCCAUCAGAGAAGGCAUCAAUUUCAGUGGAAGAGACGAAAAAAUGCUGUAGAAAAUAGUGUAAUUAUUUACACAGCAUAUGGGAAGUAAUAAAAAAUAAAAAAAAUUAUAAUAGAAAAUACUGCAUGUAUUUUGCUUGUGUGGUUUCUGUUCCUGACUUCGAAUGAACCGACGAAUUGUGGGAAUUUCCAUUCCCUAUUCUGCCUCUGGUGGAAUUCUCUGGCAUCCCUAGUUACAAUUGCUUAAAGUUUAAACCUUUGAUUGAUGAUGAUAUACCAUAAAUAUCUAGAUUGCAAUCCUGAAUAGUUAACCUUGCGUUCCACUGAAAACAGAGAAUACUCUCUUUCUCUUUCAGUCUCUCUCUUUUUGUUGACAAGAAAAGGUUACCAUGCGCUGACUCUGACUAUCGUCAUUCUCCUGUGGAGAGUGAAUUCACACAGACUACAUGCUUAUCACUCAGUGACAGCAACAUCAAGUGAAUCCUGGCAUUAUGAAAUAUCCACCAGAGAGCUAUCAGAUCAUUUCCCAUUUUCAAUGGUUGGUACAUUACACAUUCAGCUGCCAGUCAUCUAGUGAUGAUGAAGCAACAACUGAUGGGCAUGCAUAUGUCAAUCAGCUCCACAUUUUAUUGCAUAAGCAUUCCUGUGUGGUUGGCAUAGUUUUAUUAAUCCCAUCUGGGGGUUUAAUCAUUGACAGUUGUUCAAAGCAUGUCACCAUGAAAAUCUGACUAUAAGCUAACAACUUUCUUGUAAAGCUUUGCCUCUAUGUAACAAAAUACCAGAAAAUGGUUGCCUGUCUUGUUGAAUACCUUUGUGAGCACUCACUCAUCGGCAUUUAUAAACAGGGUUGCAAACUUCUUAUAAGGCUACAUAUGAUGCCAUCAUGAAGGCUUAUUGAAGUUUGCAUUGUUGACUUUAGUAUCCAGGAGGAGAAAGUGAGUGGUGCAUUUUUGGAUAGUAACUGGAAUCAUGUUUUUUAUUUGUUUGUUUUUUGCUGCCAAGGAUGAGAGUCUGGGUUAUAAGGUUUUUUGUGUUAUAAAGUGGCUCAAUACCACUCAGUAUGAAGCAGUACAGAGUAAGAUGCUACCUGGGUGGGAGAUAGGGAGGGAGUGGCUAUGUUGAUAUUUGCGUGUCAAACUGUAUUGCCCCAGAUGGAGGUGGGUGAAUGAGCUGGUUGUAUAUUGAACUUAAUGUCGAUGUGGAUUGUUUGUAGACCAGAUGUUUGCUUCUUGACAAAUGGCUGGCUAGUGACUAACUGUUUUAUGAGUAUGGCAGCUGGGAAUGGCUGAGAGUGAGGGUUUGUGUGUAUGAAAGUGCUAAGGAGGUGCUGGUGAGAUGUUACCGUACUUUAUGAAGGGAAGGGGGGUGCAGUUUCUGCCUCAUAUUUGUUUGGUUUUAUUUAAUUGGAGUGGACCGAGUUGCCAAAACUGUAAGUGUAAUGUUUUAAUGUAUCAUAUAUUUUGAUGUUAGCUGCCCUGAGCCCGGUUCUGGCCAGGGAGUGCGGGAUAUAAAUAAAAUUUGUUGUUAUUGUUGUUGUGUUUAGCCAGUAACAAUGCUUUCAUAUGUGGAAUUUUUAUUGCAUUUUCACAUUUGAUUUUUACCUCUAAAUUUUUGACAUUUAGGGGGAUAUUUUGGUUUUUUUGUUAAAGAUCCUGCUGUAAAUGUGGCUCUUUAUUCUAUUGUUGCAUUUCAUUUUGUUCAUAUGUAAUGUCCUAUUCAGACAGUCUGUGAUACUGUAUUUAAUAUUUUAAGUUAUGCUGUAAACCACUUAGAGAUUCUCCUCCUCUCCCAAAAUAGAAAGUGCAAGAG